GCAUCGGUGGUUCAGUGGUAAAAUAUUCGCCUGCCACGCGGGCGGCCCGGGUUCAGUUCCCGGCCGAUCCA
rfam:Stegodyphus mimosarum contig124688, whole genome shotgun sequence.